AACGUAGGUGGCAAGCGUUGUCCGGAAUUACUGGGUGUAAAGGGAGCGCAGGCGGAGCGGCAAGUUGGAGGUGAAACCCAUGGGCUCAACCCAUGAACUGCCUUCAAAACUGUCGGUCUUGAGUGGUGUAGAGGUAAGCGGAAUUCCCGGUGUAGCGGUGGAGUGCGUAGAUAUCGGGAGGAACACCAGUGGCGAAGGCGGCUUACUGGGCACUAACUGACGCUGAGGCUCGAAAGCAUGGGUAGCAAACAGG
rnacentral:misc_RNA from 1 species